rnacentral:antisense_RNA from 1 species
AAUUACAGUCAUUCUCUUUUCGGCGCACUGCCUCUUUCUUGCUAAGGAGCCGUUACCAUGGCAGAUGAACAUUGUCUU